UACCGGGAGCCUUACCAUGCAGUCGAACGGCAGCACGGACUUCGGUCUGGUGGCGAGUGGCGAACGGGUGAGUAAUGUAUCGGAACGUGCCCAGUAGCGGGGGAUAACUACGCGAAAGCGUAGCUAAUACCGCAUACGCCCUACGGGGGAAAGCAGGGGAUCGCAAGACCUUGCACUAUUGGAGCGGCCGAUAUCGGAUUAGCUAGUUGGUGGGGUAACGGCUCACCAAGGCGACGAUCCGUAGCUGGUUUGAGAGGACGACCAGCCACACUGGGACUGAGACACGGCCCAGACUCCUACGGGAGGCAGCAGUGGGGAAUUUUGGACAAUGGGGGAAACCCUGAUCCAGCCAUCCCGCGUGUGCGAUGAAGGCCUUCGGGUUGUAAAGCACUUUUGGCAGGAAAGAAACGUCGCGGGUUAAUACCCCGCGAAACUGACGGUACCUGCAGAAUAAGCACCGGCUAACUACGUGCCAGACG
rnacentral:rRNA from 1 species